ACGGCUGCCCCAUCCUUCAAACCGAAACGCAUUACUGCUUCACGUCAGAAAUUUAAAAAUGCGGGAAGAAAGUUUAGGAAAGAAAGGGUUAGGUCUUAUUUGGGUUAGAUCGACUAGAAACUGAUAUUUACACACGAGCGAAAUGAAUUUUCAAUGUCACCCACAAAGGUCUUGUACUGUCUACAGCGAAACGAUAAAAAAAGCAAAGGUCAUUUUUGUGAAUUUGCGAAAACUGAUAAGAAUUCAUUUACAAUUAUCUCCUUAACAGACGGCAUGUUUUCGGCCGAACUAUUUAAGUUAUUUGAAUAAAUAAAUUCUGAUGAAAAAUGAAUACCAAAGACUGAAUUCUCUCACUACUGAACUAAACAUAGGAAGAUAUAAAGGAUAAUUGAAGACAUGCGUGGAUUAGGUUUUUUGAAGUGAAAACUUCUUUAGAAUCGUUGUGAUUUCAAACCGGAUGCAACGGAAAAAACGACAGUUUCAACAGGACAGGUGGGCGAGCAAAGGCUCAGCCAGGAGAGGUGGGGUUUGCUAACAGCUGCCCGAGCGCCUCCGAAGGGGACCUAACAACUCAAGAGCGAUUGCUUCGCGAAUGAAUCUACUACCGGAUCGGAAUCGCGACCCGCUGAGAAGAUCCGGCGAGAAACUCAGCGGGCCGAUGCAUGGCGUCACACCAGUGGUACUUGGGCCUCCCUACGGGGCGGCGUCCCUCCGGUACACCCGUGUACACCCGUUUCACAGCCCGAUCCUUCUCCAUACGUACUACAAGUCCGAGCCAUCCGAGCCUCCGUGUCUUCAUCUCCCCUUCAGGUUACCAGGUUAUGUAAAAAAAAAUUGGCUCUUUGCGGAGCAGAACAGAAGUUGGUAGUACAAAUUUUCGGUAUCACAUUAGCGUCAAGCAAAAAGACAAUACAGUCAAACCUGGAGCACAAUCUCAUCCUCGCUUAAGAGGUUUCUCACUAACCCGAGUUUCUCGCUAAUGCACGCUCUGAAUUUCAUUUCGCGAUUUUCCGGAUUCAAACGCAUUCCGUGUUUUAAAUUUAUCACUUAAUGACGGUACUUUAAUUUUCCGUUUUGACCUGAUGCAGAACAGAACUUUCCUUCGGAAUUGAUUAACGAUAAACUGAGUGAGUCCAACAAACAGGACGGUACACAGGCACACGUGUCCAUUCGAAAAGAAUGCGAUAAAAUAACAACGUUAUUUAGUUCCACGAAAUAGAAUAGGUUCAAUAUUGACGAGAAAACAAUACAAAAACAAUAUUAGGAAGUUCCACGAGAGUUAAGAAUGAGUCAUAAAACAGCAGAUGUUAAAUUUGUAAUUUGUUUUGUCAUUUGUUCCUCCUAAAUAAUAUAAAUAAAUAAAGCUCGACUGUCGCUUAUAGAGGUAUAGAUAAGUAGCAGUCUCACUUACGGAGGGGUCCAUGAGGGAAAAACGACUCUCUUACCAAGGUUUCUGUUUCUCGCUAAUAGAGGUUUUGGGAGCUUAAAUGACGGGUUCUGGCUCUUACUCUUUUUUUAUUAUUUUUUUAUUGCUUAGAUGGGUGGACGAGCUCACAGCCCACCUGGUGUUAAGUGGUUACUGGAGCCCAUAGACAUCUAUAACGUAAAUGCGCCACCCACCUAUCUCACUUAUAGAGUUUUCUCACUUAUUCAGUUCUCACUUACCCAGGUUUGACUGUACACCAAAAAAAUUGUGGCGUGCAGCGAUAAUUCAUAACAUGAAAAAAAAGGUAUACGCGUGAAGUUCGCGUCGCAUUAGUCAAAAUAUAAUAACAUCGUUACAUCACAGAGGAAAGUUGGAACGUCGCUGCGGUCAAUGUCGGAUGUCGAGUAGUGAUUGACUUCACAAUAUAUUAUAAAGAGCGUAUGGUUUCCAUCGAUAAAUUACUAUCACCUGAUAUUUUUAUCGAGGGCAAAAGAUCUCGCGGACUAUCUCCAACACGAUGGGCCGACCUCAUAAAAUCUGUUACUCACUCCAACAUAAAUGUUUGCUCUCACUCUGCGAAACAUCGUGCCACAUGGCGUCGCAUCGCGAGAGCAUCGGUGUCGCAGAAUCCGACUGAUGCCUGACCACGACCACUCUGUCAAGAGUGUACGAAUAGGAAGAAGAAGAUAUUUUUAUUGCACCGAUAGACGUAAGCACGAAUUCAGCCAAUCUAAAUAAGCAUCUAAAUAAAACAUUUUACGAGCUCCCCUCCACGGUGUUUCCCGAGCGCUAUGACAUGUCCUUCUUUAAAAGAGGCUUGUGGAGAGUAUUAAGCGGUAGGCAGCGUCUUGGCUCUGCCCCUGGCAUUGCUGAAGUCCAUGGGCGACGGUAACCACUCACCAUCAGGUGGCCCGUUUGCUCGUCUGCUUACAAGGGCAAUAAAAAAAAACAAAUUCAAAAUCUGAGAGAUAAGGAAAUUAGAUGCUAGAUUGGGAGGGCAAUUUCGAAAAGUGACCAUUUCGCGGAAAAGAGAUAGAGCAUAACUUAGAAAUGCACAUAUUUCAGAACUAAUAAUAAAUAAUAAUAAUAAAUAAUAAAUAAAUAAAUAUUUAUUAACA